rnacentral:tRNA from 1 species
CAUUAAGAAGCUAAACAGCGCUAACCUUUUAAGUUAGAGAAUAGGAGUACAAGCCUCCUCUUAAUGA